rnacentral:rRNA from 1 species
AGGACGAACGCUGGCGGCGUGCUUAACACAUGCAAGUCGAGCGGUAAGGCCUUUCGGGGUACACGAGCGGCGAACGGGUGAGUAACACGUGGGUGAUCUGCCCUGCACUUCGGGAUAAGCCUGGGAAACUGGGUCUAAUACCGGAUAUGACCUCCUAUCGCAUGGUGGGUGGUGGAAAGAUUUAUCGGUGCAGGAUGGGCCCGCGGCCUAUCAGCUUGUUGGUGGGGUAAUGGCCUACCAAGGCGACGACGGGUAGCCGACCUGAGAGGGUGACCGGCCACACUGGGACUGAGACACGGCCCAGACUCCUACGGGAGGCAGCAGUGGGGAAUAUUGCACAAUGGGCGAAAGCCUGAUGCAGCGACGCCGCGUGAGGAUGACGGCCUCGGGUGUAAACCUCUUUCAGCAGGACGAAGCGCAAGUGACGGUACCUGCACGAAGAAGCACCGGCUAACACGUGCCAGCAGCCGC